CACACACACAUACUCCGAGAAGUUACGGCCCUCAGAUAAUGACCCCCAGAUCCAAGCUUUGGAGAGAGGACUCGACCAGCCCCCGACCCAGUAGGCUGCAGCGGAGCCUCGGAGCCGUAACCAAAACAAAGGAGCUCGGCUCAUGCCCGGCGACUCCCGGUCACAGAAGCAUCCACACCCUGCGCUCCGCUGGGUGGCCACCAAACCCGAUCCCAGAACCUGGUCUGCAGAACAAGGGGUGUAGAACUGUGGCCUCUAGGUCCCCCUAGAUUUUAUCACAGCCAUCGGACACUUCCAAAAAAGGGUUUAACGUCGGUCAGGGAGCUGUGGUUGAAAGACGGUUUCUUAAACGUGAUAGGAAGCAAGGGGAAAAGGAGACAGGCAAAGCUAAAGAGGGAGAUCCGGCAGUUUUCACUUGGGCAUCCAAAAUUCGAAGUAAACAUCCAAGAAAGGUCACCGCAGCCCGAAAUCUACCACCCAAGCAGCUUCAGAAGCGCGGGAGCCAGGGAGCCCGGCCACGCGAAGGACCCUGGGGAUGUAGUCCCCAGGUGGACCCUUUCCGCAAAUCCGCAGAACUAGGCAACACUCGGGAACUACAACUCCCAGAAGGGAGCGCGGCUCCGCGACGCCCACAGUCCCGCAUCGAAAGAACUGGUACAGAACUGCACACCUAAACCCAGGCUUCUUCUCUCCACCAGGACCUACAUGGCUCCCCUAUACGUGGCUUAUAGUACCAGUAAUGUAUGUCCUUGUACAUGUCAAGGAGUUAGUGAUUUCUUUGGAAUCUUCCAGCACAAAAGUAACAUCUAAGGAGCGAGGUCAUCAUGAACAUUUUCUAAGACCACUGACUCCAGACACCUUGACACCAGGACCACUGGCUCCAAGGCAUAAACGACUCAUGAAGGACACCUGAGCACUUGCCCUUGUUUUGACCAGUUCCUGGAUGCCUGACAGAACAUGUACACCAGACCAACAUCCUCAGUAAAAACUCCAGACCCCAAGCAAAGAUGAGACUCAUUCCCCUUUUCCUUUCUGAGUCUCCUAGAUGCUCGGUCUGUAUCUGCCCUCUCUAGAUCUUCAAUAAAUGCUACUUUCACUUCC